GAUGAACGCUGGCGGCGUGCCUAAUACAUGCAAGUCGAGCGAACAGACGAGGAGCUUGCUCCUCUGACGUUAGCGGCGGACGGGUGAGUAACACGUGGAUAACCUACCUAUAAUACUGGGAUAACUUCGGGAAACCGGAGCUAAUACCGGAGAAUAUAUUGAACCGCAUGGUUCAAUAGUGAAAGACGGCUUUGCUGUCACUUAUAGAUGGAUCCGCGCCGCAUUAGCUAGUUGGUAAGGUAACGGCUUACCAAGGCGACGAUACGUAGCCGACCUGAGAGGGUGAUCGGCCACACUGGAACUGAGACACGGUCCAGACUCCUACGGGAGGCAGCAGUAGGGAAUAUUCCGCAAUGGGCGAAAGCUUGACGGAGCAACGCCGCGUGAGUGAUGAAGGUCUUCGGAUCGUAAAACUCUGUUAUUAGGGAAGAACAAAUGUGUAAGUAACUAUGCACGUCUUGACGGUACCUAAUCAGAAAGCCACGGCUAACUACGUG
rnacentral:rRNA from 1 species